GCCACGUCGAGGAGGAAGAAGAGUGACCUUUCAUUCUUUUUCUCUUGUUUUUCCCUUUUCUUCUCUCUGUAAAAUCCAAUUUAUAUAUUGUCUCUUUCUUUCCUCUUUUAUUCCUCUCAUCUGAUUCCCGUAAAUGUAGAAAUUACCUUUUUUUGCACUGUCCAAGAAAUAACCUAGACUAGCAGUCAGAAGCGGUUCAUCAUCAAAUCCCCACCAUCGAAGAGUUAUUGCGGAAGAAGGCUGAAUACAGUGAACACGGACGACUUCUUGCAGUGUGUUCAAUAAUGUCCCAUGAUGGAGAUGAUUGUACGGUUGAUGGCAAUAGAGUCGAAGGCCUUGGAGAGCUGACUGAGACAUGGAACAGGGUUCAGUCCGAAUCUCACAAUCCAUUCCAGCAUGUCCAUGGGCCAAGAAUCAUGGCGACACAACAAACAACAUUCCCUAGCCAUUAUACUAUGAGUUUCAGUCAGCCUUUUCCCCAGGUGCAGUACAUGCCACAGCGGAGUGAACCUCUGUUCUACCCGAACAUGUGGAAUUUCCCGGGUUCGGGAGGCACGUCGUCGCUUCCUCACCUAGAGACCCAGUCCUCGCAGCUGAAGACUGAUCCCUCCACUACAAGCCGACGACUUUUGUCAACAGAAACACCUAGUCAUCGCAAUAGUGCAAGUUGAGCAACGAGAAGUAAUCAAUGCGUAAACAAGAACUGGACCACAGAGGAGGACGUGGAACUGGCUACGGCGUAGUGUAAUACUACAAGAGAUGUCUGGGUAGGUGUAGGCCAGAAGAGACAGAAACUAUGAGAGCGUGUUUGUGAGAGUUUUGCCUUGUUGAUGGAAGAGAAUCACGGGGUACCGACAACUGAAAAUAAAAGAUCCCCGGGUGCUUGUGAGAAUCAAAUGAAGGAGAUCAAAUCACAAUGCUCGAAAUAGUGUGGAGUACGGGUGCACACAAAAGGGCAAUAUCGGAGUGGUUGAAGUUCCACCGAUUUUGAACAAUACUGCGAUGAGAUAUAUUAUGAGAAGCAUGGGAUGACUUUCAAAUGCGCAGCUUUUUCGCAUAUUUUAAAGAAUGAACCGAAGUGGAUGGAGUCUGUCUCCGGGAGGAAGACGCGGCCGAGCGAGCCAAAAACUAUAGGGGAGACCGAAAUAGGUUGUGAGCGACGCUCCACACAAAGGGAAUCUCACGAGCAGUCACCCAUAAUACAAGUUGAAAUCUCUGAUGAUGGUGUACACGUUGACAUUGAAGGCUCGGAUAAGGGGUCUAGACAUACUGUGUUGACUGGUCCGGCUGCGCGUGUCAUGGAGCGGCCACUGGGGGCUAAGAAGGCGAAGGCCAACGGCAAAGUUAAUAACCAAACGUCAAUGUAAAAUCAGACAGCAUGAAGAGUCUCAAGCGUCAGCAACGCGCAAUAUCACUCCUAGUCUCAUGGCACUCGAUUCGUCGCAAGCAGAAAGGUGGUCUAAGAUGGAGGACAACGAAACAAGGCGCGAAAAGUUGAUAGAAGAACAAUCGAGCAAGGACUAAUAGAGUUCAGCACUCGGCAAAGAUGGCCCGAGAAAUUGUGUAACUGACCAGGGAUUUGGCAAAAAUCGGUAAGGAAAUGAUUGUUGCCUUCCAUAAGUUUGAAGAGUUGGAUCCGGCGAAGCUGGCAACCAAAUUGUCACGGAAAGAGUACGCCAUCAGACGAGAACAACUUGAGUACUACACGGAUGCACACAAUGUCAGCUGUCGUUCAGGCGUCAAGGCGGUCAUCGCGACCAUCAAGAGGCAUGAGGGCCAACAACAAGACGUAGAUGAAUCGAGUGUUUCUCCAAGUGGAGGGAAAAAGCGUGGUAGGCGUGAAACCCCUGAUAAAAGUAACUUCUAGUCAGAGUGCCGUUGAUCGACCGGUACUGUAAGUUUCGACAUGGAAUUGUCUCUUGGGCCAACGAGUGUGGUGACGUGUAACUCUAUUUUUUCCUAGUGUAUUUUUAGGAUAUUUGUUUAAUCUUCCACUACGGCACACACAAAGAACCCUAGUGUGUUUUAUUGUAUCCUAGUUCCGUAAGAAGUUUGGCGUGUUUCGGUUGAAUAUCCAGGCAGCUGAAUGUACUUUUCAUGUUGGUUUGCAGUGUUAUUGAUCAUUACUUUCUUUGUUUAUUAUUGUUCAUUUUACGUGGGUACAGGGCAUG